rnacentral:rRNA from 1 species
GGGGAGCAAACAGGAUUAGAUACCCUGGUAGUCCACGCCGUAAACGAUGUCUACUUGGAGGUUGUGCCCUUGAGGCGUGGCUUCCGGAGCUAACGCGUUAAGUAGACCGCCUGGGGAGUACGGCCGCAAGGUUAAAACUCAAAUGAAUUGACGGGGGCCCGCACAAGCGGUGGAGCAUGUGGUUUAAUUCGAUGCAACGCGAAGAACCUUACCUGGUCUUGACAUCCACGGAAGAAUUCAGAGAUGGAUUUGUGCCUUCGGGAACCGUGAGACAGGUGCUGCAUGGCUGUCGUCAGCUCGUGUUGUGAAAUGUUGGGUUAAGUCCCGCAACGAGCGCAACCCUUAUCCUUUGUUGCCAGCGGUUAGGCCGGGAACUCAAAGGAGACUGCCAGUGAUAAACUGGAGGAAGGUGGGGAUGACGUCAAGUCAUCAUGGCCCUUACGACCAGGGCUACACACGUGCUACAAUGGCGCAUACAAAGAGAAGCGACCUCGCGAGAGCAAGCGGACCUCAUAAAGUGCGUCGUAGUCCGGAUUGGAGUCUGCAACUCGACUCCAUGAAGUCGGAAUCGCUAGUAAUCGUGGAUCAGAAUGCCACGGUGAAUACGUUCCCGG